rnacentral:ncRNA from 1 species
CGCUGUUCCGAGGGGUGCCCCCGUCCGUUUUCACAUCCGGGCCAAGGCGCUGAGAUCUGGCUGACUGGCCGGAAACCCUUUGAACCUGAUCCGGGUCAUACCGGCGGAGGGACAGGAACAGCAAGGAGC